GCCCGGGUGGCGAAAUUGGUAGACGCAGGGGACUCAAAAUCCCCCGCCGAAAGGUGUGUCGGUUCGAGUCCGACCUCGGGCACCA
rnacentral:tRNA from 1 species